rnacentral:lncRNA from 1 species
AUGUGUGGAGCUAACAAAUUAUCGGCGGAGCCAAGCUCUCUGCAGAUAAUUGCAUGGGGCUGUGCUCGGCAUCUGAUGGCAGCCUCCGGACCCCGCUGCCAGCCGCCAGCUCGGAGGUGCUCCGGGCACCACGGCACUCGUGGGCAGCAACUCCAACACCUCCAUGUGCUCCUUUUCCUCCUCAACCACAGAGGUUUCCAUGGGUGCAGGAUCAGGAUCCUGCUGUGCUGGGAGCUGCCAGCUGAUCCGAGAGGAGAAGAGCUGCUGUGGUCCAAGAAGUGGUGGCCCCAUCCUCUCUGUGACCGUUCAGAAGAUGUGAAUUUGUACAUACUGCUUUUUCUACCUUCUUCUGUCUUCCUGAGUCUUCCCAAGUCCUUGCUACUACGUGAGAACCUGCAAAGGAAAGUUGCUACAAGUGCUGUGAAGUUUUUGGGGGAGAGGUGAAGCGGGGAAGGGCAGGAAGCCUUUGCAGCAGCGCUGCUUCUCUUCCAGGCAGCCCUCGGCACGUCAAGCUGCGAGGUUUCAUUUCUCUUCCAUUCUGCCUCUGCCAUUUCUUCUGGAGGCCAGAAGGAGACCCUGGUGGAAUAUUAACUCCGUGGUCGCUGAGCGAUUAUUUAUUACAAUCAUUGCUUUCGGGUCCUUUGACUCGUCUCUGUUAAUUAGACUGCAGGGUGUAAUAAACGUGAUGGAAAGCACCCA